rnacentral:rRNA from 1 species
UACGUAGGCAGCAAGCGUUGUUCGGAAUUACUGGGCGUAAAGAGUGUGUAGGCGGUGCUCUAAGUUCGGUGUGAAAUCUCCCGGCUCAACUGGGAGGGUGCGCCGGAAACUGGAGUGCUGGAGCGCGGGAGAGGAAAGCGGAAUUCCUGGUGUAGCGGUGAAAUGCGUAGAUAUCAGGAGGAACACCUGCGGUGUAGACGGCUUACUGGACGGUAACUGACGCUGAGGCACGAAAGCUAGGGGAGCAAACAGG